rnacentral:rRNA from 1 species
CCUACGGGUGGCAGCAGUGGGGAAUAUUGUGCAAUGGGCGAAAGCCUGACGCAGCGACGCCGCGUGAGGGAUGAAGGUCUUCGGAUCGUAAACCUCUGUCAGCAGGGAAGAACGGUCACUGUGCUAAUCAGCAGUGAAUUGACGGUACCUGCAAAGGAAGCACCGGCUAACUCCGUGCCAGCAGCCGCGGUAAUACGGAGGGUGCGAGCGUUAAUCGGAAUUACUGGGCGUAAAGCGCUCGUAGGCGGUAUGUCAAGUCAAGGGUGAAAUCCCGCGGCUCAACCGCGGAACUGCAUUUGAAACUGUUUUUCUUGAGUACCGGAGAGGUCAUCGGAAUUCCAUGUGUAGCGGUGAAAUGCGUAGAUAUAAGGAAGAACACCAGUGGCGAAGGCGGAUGACUGGACGGCAACUGACGGUGAGGCGCGAAAGCAUGGGGAGCAAACAGGAUUAGAUACCCGGGUAGUC